UUGUAGGUGCUGAAUUAUUUAGUAUCAUA
rnacentral:piRNA from 1 species